rnacentral:rRNA from 1 species
UACGGAGGGUGCAAGCGUUGUUCGGAAUUAUUGGGCGUAAAGCGUGCGCAGGCGGUUAUAUAAGACAGAUGUGAAAAUCCCCGGGCGUCAACCUGGGAACGUGCAUUAGUGACUGUAUAGCUAGAGUGCGGCAGAGGGGGAGUGAAUUCCGCGUGUAGCAGUGAAAUGCGUAGAUAUGCGGAGGAACACCGAUGGCGAAGGCAAUCCCCUCGGGCGUUCACUGACGCUCAUGCACGAAAGCGUGGGGAGCAAACAGGAUUAGAUACCCCUGUAGU